ensembl:lncRNA
GUGGGGUGGCCAGUCCUCUUCUGGCUGUGUCGGGUGGAGAUUAUAACAGAACAUGGCCAAGAUGUUCAAAUGUUCAUAAAUGACCAGCAUGGUCGAAUAAUAAGAAGGCAGAACAGUUGAAACUGGAGCAGCAGCUUAUACUCUGUGUCCAAGUCACUCUACAGUCUUGAAGGAGUUCCCACAUAUGCUGAGGACUUGUUGGAUGCUUUUUCUUCACUCUGCGGUCCAACUCAUCCCAAACCAUCUCAAUUGGGUUGAGGUCAGGUGAUUGUGGAGGCCAGGUCAUCUGAUGCAGCACGCCAUCACUCUCCUUCUUGGUCCAAUAGCCCUUACACAGCCUGGAGGUUCACCUACUCUGCGUCUCACAAAGACAUGGCGGUUGGAUCCAAAAAUCCAAAAUGUUGACUUGUCAUACCAAAGGACAGAUUUCCAUCAGUCUAAUGUCCGUUGCUCGUGUUUCUUGGCCCAAGCAAGUAUUUUCUUCUUAUUGGUGUCCUUUAGUAGAGGUUUCUUUGCAGCAAUUCAACCAUGAAGGCCUGAUUCACACAGUCCCCUCAGAACAGUUGAGGUUGAGAUGUGUCUAUUACUUGAACUCUGUGAAGCAUCAAUUUGGGCUGCAAUCGGAGGUACUAACUCUCAUGAACUUAUCCUCUGCAGCAGAGAUAACUCUGGGUGUUCCAUUCAGUUGCGGUCCUCAUGAGAGCCAGUUUCAUCCUAGCUCCUGAUGGUUUUUGCGACUGCACUUGAAGAAACUUUCAAAGUUCUUUAAAUGUUCUGCAUUGACUGACCUUCAUGUCUUAAAGUCAUUUUGGACUGUUUUUUUCUCUUUGCACUGUUUUGAUUUUCUUGCCAUAAUAUGGACUUGGUGUUUUACCAAAUAGGGCAAACAGGGCUGUCUUCUGUAUACCACCCUACCUUGUCACAACACAACUGAUUGUCUCAAACGCAUUAAGAAGUAAAGAAAUUCCACAAAUGUACUUUUAACAAGGCACACCUGGUUCCAGGUAGAACCCUUUUUAUUUCCAG